rnacentral:rRNA from 1 species
GUGUCAGCCGCCGCGGUAAUACAGAGGCCCCGAGCGUUAAUCGGAAUCACUGGGCUUAAAGGGUGCGUAGGCGGGUCAGUAAGCGCUUUGUGAAAUCCCACAGCUCAACUGUGGAACCGCAGGGCGAACUGCUGAUCUUGAGGAAGCUAGAGGCUGGUAGAACGAUAGGUGGAGCGGUGGAAUGCGUAGAGAUCUAUCGGAAUGCCGAAAGUGAAGACAGCCAGCUGGGGCUUUCCUGACGCUAAAGCACGAAAGCGUGGGGAGCAAACCGGAUUAGAAACCCGCGUAGUCC